ACCUCCCUCUCCUGCUGGCCGCCCCUUUUUCAUGCAGCCCAGAACACAGCUGGCCUUCCGGGCUGCAGGCUCAGUGUAGUUGCAGUAUUUGAUCAGUUCACAAUCAAAUCUAGCACCCAGGCUAGCUUUUGUUUUUGACUGAGCGUCUCUCAAAGCACAAAGAGCUGGAUCAGUUUUGAUUUCUGCCAUUUUCUUUAAAAUAUGUGCUUUACAGAUUUGGAGUUUAGCAUUUCUUCAACCUGGAGUUCUGAAUUGUCCAGUGGGGAGUAGGUGCUUAGUGCCAGAACAAGGUCACUUUACUGUUUAUCUACCUCUAUUUUCUUGCUAUUUCCAUUUGCUCUCGUCCAGGUGGUGGUUUCAGCCAAACAGUCAGACCUUCUGUUUCACCAAAUAUCUCUGUGUUGCAGCAUUUAAAACCAUUUCAGAGGUUUGCUUACAGCUCAUAGUGGAUUUUAAAUUCCAACAGCACUAUAAAUUGUAAUUUGUAGUUUAACCCCUAGAACUCUUGCCUGUUCUUCUGCAGUAAAAUCGCAGAUGAAUUCCACUGCCUUCCAUCACCUGUGACUAUGACACACGCCUUUUCUCAACCAUUUAUGCAUUUAUAUACAGCAGGGUGACUCCUAUGGCUAAAAAGGACUGCUCCUGUGCAGUUUAUUAUUGACAUUUUCAAUACUGCUAACACUACUGCUAUUCAAGUAAGAACUUUUCCAUUCCCUCUUUCAGCAGGACAAAAAUUAAGCCAAUGCUGGUAAUACUAAAAAAAAAAUCAUCCCACUCUUUGGUAAGACAGAAGAAGGGAUAAAAUUGAAAGAACUGCACAAUUUCACAGAUCAUGGGACCUGGCUUGUUUGUGUUUUUCUUGUGGAGAAGCACUGACUUGUUACUAAUAGGUUCAAGGCUGGCCAGGACCUGAGCUUUGGACAGAGUCACCCAAUCACCAUUCGACCUAUUUAGUGAUAAAAAGGACAAUUCUGGUUUAUAUAAAACACAGAAUAAAUUGCACUGACCUGUAGCCUCUACUGUUCACUGGAUGUGGAAGGAUUUUGACAGAUUAGUGUGUUUUCCUUUCAAUUAGAGUAGAAAGUAUUCCUGCAUUGGGAGUUCACGUUGCCAGUAUUUCUGGUAAUAAAAAAAAAAACGUUAUAUAUUCAAGCACUAGCAGGGAAGUAAUUUUUGAACGUUAGAAUUAAUUCCCAAAGUUGCUUAAUUCUCAGUACUCAGUUUUUUAGGUAACAGCAAAACAGGAGUGUGGAGGAUUUAUUGAAUUUAUACUCGUUUUUUUUCUUACUGAAGAAAGAGGUUUGUUUUAUUCAGACAUCAGUGUGAACUGGAGUGAUGGUGGCAGUUGCAUACUGCAGAUCAAAGAUCUGAGUCUCUUUCAUUUCUUACUUGGAAGAGCUUCCAUUUUCCGGAAGAAGCUGCUGCACUUCACACAGCUUUUGCAGUGAAGAUGCUGGGGCUGGAGGCAUUUGAGACUACUGUGAUCUGCACAGGGCAAGAUGGAUGGCAUGAGUAGAGAUGUCACUGCAAUUCAGCGUAAACUCUACUACCGUGCUUCCAGACUGCAGAUAGAAAGGAAUUUUAACAUAGGCAAAACAAGUGAGUCUUGCUUCCAUCCCCCUGCAUACAUUUCUCAAGGAACCUUUCAUUUUCUAAGCUUACAUUGAAUCCCAGUGUCACUGGGGUGAAGACUACAAGGAUUUAAGUAGUGACAGAAAACUGGGAGGCAAAGAAUUUGGUGUCAGGUCAGACUGAGAUUUUUAACAAUUAUUUUAGAACAGAGUGCAUUCAUCAAAAAUUUGUUAUUACUUUUAUGGGCAGCAGUGAUCAUGCUGCUUAAUGCUGCAUUAAAAUACAUUUAAACCUGCUAUCCAUGUGUUUUGCCACAAUCUAAUUGCUGUGUAGUCGAGAUAGCUAGAAGCUGUUGCUGUAGAGUCAACAAGUGUUUGCUUCGGGUUUAAAUACUUCUAGCCUGCAUGAGGGAACUGCAUGAUUCAGACUGCUGAGCUUGCUGUUGAUACAUCAGUGUGAAUACUUAUAAGAAGUGGAGGAACAACCCCUUUUUUACACUGAUGCAAAUCAUUCCCUUUUCAAGAAUCACACUGAGCUAGUGCUGCAACAAGGGAAGAGGAAUCAGGCUAAUUGACAACUUCUGUGGCUGAUUACAGAGCAUAAACCACAAAAAACAGAGCAAAUACCAACUUCAAAAAACACUGAUUGCCAGCUGGGGAGUAGUAUCAGCAGUAAUUGGAUUAUAAGUAGUAGUUGCACAACACUUAAAAUCAAACCACUGCCUCCUGUGGCUUAAUGAAAAUCAUUAGGUUAAUGUGAAAUCACACUUUUGAGUUGUAUUCUCUUAGCAGAUGUUAGGAAUUAACAUGUUAUUCCUGCAGUGGAGUUGGCAGAGAAGAGGCAUCUUCACUUCUCUGUUGUGUGUCUAUUUUCUUAAGCUUAGUUAAACUUUGCAGAUUAAGAUCUCAGGGAUCUCCAAAACAAGAAAAAAAAAAAGAAAGAAAAAAAAAAAAGACAGUAAACACUUGCAUAUGAGGCAGGCAUACACCCUGUGUUGCUAACUGCAGGAAGGCACCAAGGCUCACACCUAUUGAUUACUGGCCGUUCCACAUUCCUAAUGCUUUUUUCUUUGUAAAUUUGUAGUAGCCUUCUGGUUGCUAUGGCAAUUAAAUUACACCAAACAAAAUGAUUUGGUUGUUAUUUCCAGAUGCUAAGAAAGCAGUAUGCGGACCAAGUUGAGAAAUUGUGGCUGUUUUCAGAUGAGUGAGCUGCCAAGUCGCAUCUCUGUUGAAACUGAAGACAGCUUCGCUAUGAGCAGUAUUCUUGCACUUAGAAUAACUUCCUGAACAAAGUUCCAAGUAUAUAGAAAGCACGCACAAAGAACCUUUAAAUCUCUGCUUUCAGGAUUUCUGUUACAUCUGGUUAUAUUUUCCGACUGCCUUUAAUUUCAGCAUAAUCACUGGCUGGUCUAUACAUUGAUUUUGCUGUAGCCUGUCACCCUCACUGCUAUGAGGUGAGGAAGAAAUAGUAUUUUACCUGCUUUCUAAGCACACAGUUGAAACGUUCCCUGGUUUAAUUUCACUCACCUACAAGAUUGUCCCAGCAAGCAGGUGACAGAACUCUCCUUCCAUUAAUCAGAUCUCUUAUCAUUUAUCUGACAGAUUUUUUUUUAACACGCGUGCAAACACCCCUUAACUUCACUCAGAGAAAAUACCUUAAUCAGAUUGAGUUACCGUGACUUUCUCUUUUGUAAGUCUUGUAUUAUCUCUUACCCCCCUGCCUUUUUUUUUCCCCACAAAGUGGUUAUUGAAUCAACUGUAUCUUAAGGCUUUUGCGUGUAGAUUUUCCAUAGAAAUAAGCCUGCUUUUGCUGUCUCUUCUGUUAGAACAAGCUUGGUAUGUCCUUCAGGGUUCUACUCUCAGUCUGCUGGAGCAUGUGGUGGAAUCGAUCCUUUUUUAAGCUGCACACACACAUACACACAUAGCCAAACACACCCAAAACUCAGCAUAUGUAUGUAUACUGAAACAGUAAAUCCUCGAUGGGAGACAAAGCUGGAGGGAAGAAGGGAAGAAAACUACCUCAGGAAAGUGCAAAAUGAGGCACUGUCUCUCUUCAGCAGCCCCAGAGCAUGCUAUUUUUCAGUCCAUGAGUGACAAGGAAGGAGAUGUGUGUUUCAGAGAGAAGUGAGUUUUAAGAAAAUAAAAAGUCUGUGUGCACAGGGACUUUUCAGUAUAUAUCAUUUACUGUAAAUGAAAAAAAGAACAUUCAGCUUUAGCCUAGUUACAGUUACUGUAGUACAAAAUUCUAUUUCAGAAGCUUUUAAAUUGCUAGAAGAUGAGCUGCAAAGCAACUUUCCUCUGUCUUAUAAACUUUCCAGAGUGCAGACAGAAAAAGCUGGUUUCUGGUUUCAUUCUAACUGUACUGAUGCAUCACAGAAAAACAGCAGAAACACAUGUAAUGAAAGCGUAUACCUUUACUAGCAGUUAGGCUGUUGCUAUGUAAGAAUCCAAAAACAAAUAGUUCAAUUCCUGGGGUUUUACUUACAGGCCUGGGGAAGAUCUUCAGCAUAGCAGAUUUCCCUCUCCAGCACCUCUUGGCAAGGAGGUCCUCUGGUGUAAGACUGGCUCCUUAGAAGCACAUUCUUUGUUCCCCCUGAGGUUCGGCAUCAGCCUCACUCAGUUGUUUCAGCGGAUAGCAGAAGUCCACGCUGUGUUGCACCUUCCUGUAAAGUGACAUCAAGGAGUAGAAAGCUCAAGAAAGAUAUUAAGACCUGCAUUCAUUUUUCUGUUUCUUCGCAGACUUCACAGCAUGCUUUGCCCUUUCUCCACAUUCUCUUUCCACCAGCCAUUUCUAUUUUCUUUCCUCAGCUGACGCUCCAUUUGAAGCACUUGCUUCUCUCUUUUGCUCUGUUCUUAGGACAGACUUAAGCAAUUUCCAGGCUACUCUUCUCACAGCUAUCUGUACCACACAGUCCUGUUUGUGCCGGUCUGAUUACCACUGUUCCAUAGUUCUGCCAACAAAGCAGCUCUUCCAACUGCUUUCAAAUCACAGCUUGAAUGGUUUAAAGUAUUUUUUAGACUGAACUUACUGAUGUCUGAAACAGGAAAGCUAACUCUAGUGAGCUUUUCCAAAAGCAAAUUUCACAAUAGAAGCUGUCAGUCACCUCACUAGUAAUAAAUUGCAACUUCAGUUGGAAAACACUCAGCAAAGGCACUUCCAUCUGUAAUCUGCCUGCAUCCCCUUCCUUUUUACUUGCUGCACAUUCUUUUCAGGCUCUUGCUUCACUACCUUUGUCCUGAGGUCAGGCGGACCCUCUUUGGUAGUUGUCUGUUUUUCUCUCCUCCCUCUCCCUAUUUUUUCUUUUUAACUAAUUCAAAAUUCUAAGCGUCUUUCAAAGAGGUAAAGACAAAAAGCUUUUUAGGUACCAAGCAAAAUUCAUGCCUACUGAGUAACAAAGAUAGGUGAAAUUAAUAGCUUCAGUGACGCUAACUUGUUAAGAGAUACAGAUUACACAUCCUUUCAUUAAAACCUGGAUUACAGCAAAUAAAACUGAAUACUGUUCUUAUUUGCCUAGUCAGCUAUACAUAGAUCUCAUCAAAUCCCAAAUCACCCCCUCCAUCCACCAGCCAGUGCCAGAAUGAAGUAUUUAUCCUGACAUCCUGCAUAAUGGAAGAUGUAAACAUCACCCAACGAACGACUUCUGCACCAAACCAACAUCUUCACUUCAACCAGGCCAUAAAACACCAUCAUUAGAAAGGUCUCUGACAUUUGAAGAAUUCAAAAGGCACCCAUGAUUGGAUAAGGAGAGGAUCAGGCUGGGAGUGUCCUGCAACUCCUGCCACUCUGUCCUUCCUUCUUUUAAACCUAUGGCAAUAAAAAACCUCCCUGCAGCCACAAAGAUGGAGGAGGAGAGCCUGCAUGCCAGGCCACCUUCUGCUGUCCCUUCUUGCUCCCAAGAAUCCACAAAUUGGAUUAGAGAAACUGACUUAAGUAACUCUAUGUCAUGGCUGUGUAAUCCUUCUGUGAACCUAAAGAUACAGCUCUCACUUUUAGAGUAUAGUACCAAACUCAAUAUGCUUGUCUUGUAAAAAGUGAACAAAGUUGUCCAAUCUUUGCUAAGUAUUGAAGGGAAAUUGUGGAGCAUAAUAAAUCUGAGGUACAAAGAUCAUUAAACUAGAGACACUACAUGAAAAAAAGAAAAGGAUUUCAAGACAAAGUGAAUAAGGUGGAAGUCUGCACCUCUCCAUCACUUCUCCUAAUGUGAGAAAGUGCAAACAAUCCCUUUUUAUCUGAUUUAGAGGUCAGUACUCAGUUAUUUUGCCACUGUAUCUUUCUGGACGGGCCACUGUGAAUGAUGAGUGCAGGCAGAGAAGUGGGGCACAGUUCUAGAAACAGCUUUGAACCCUUCUCCUCCAUAUAGAAAUUUGUCUUGGCAAUGUUACUUUUAGUGUGAAGUUAACCAACACAGAAGCAUUGGAAUCAAAUUGUAACAAAGACACCUCUUGCUAAGCAUGAGCACUGCCUAAUGACUGAAGAGGAUCCAGUGUUUUGUUCCUCCCUCCUUCCAUUCCCUGAACCAAGAAAAACUUCCAGAGCAGGCUUCAAAUGCACACAUCCCAGGAGCAGAUGUACCAGCAGGGAGGGAGCUGUGCUUUCCAACUCAUUCCAACUGGAAAUGAUGCUCUGAGCACCUGUGCUAUGACUAGUCAUUAAAAUGUUCCAGAUUCUGAGUUAAGUCUGCAAUGCUACUUUCGUUUUCCUGUUUUCAGGUUUGCUGCAAAGAAUGCAAGUAGAUGCAAAAACACUAUUUUUAACAAUAGGAAAGAAAUCUUCUUAGGCUGUUGGACUGAAAGGCUUGGAAUGGUUGAGAAUCUCCAGUGAUUUCACAGAUAAUCCAUAUAUUUGUAUAGAUCAUUGGAUUUUGUCUUCUCUCUAAUGUAAAAUCUGCAAUGACAGCAGGAACAAUUUCACACCAAUACAACAGUCUACAUUUUAGUGCACAGUGCUGCAGAAAUGGAGGUCACAGUCUCCAAAGAGCCUGAGAGGGAUACUUGUGUUGUUGAAUUUCACUGCAAAUGGAAAAGAUUUAUGUCAUGAUCAGAAGUGUAGCUCUUUCCAGAGGCAGAUUCUCAAGCAAUUAUCACUGGUAAAGCAGUUUUUAGCUCUACUAGCCAUUAAUUUAAUUAGUCUUUUCUAAUUAUUUUUAUGACCAGUGCCUCAGGUGCAGCUGAUAGCUGCAUAAUCCAGCCAAGCUCCUGCUUCCUCUUCUCCUGGAGACAAACGUUCUUCUGCUAUUCUGAUUUAGGACUCAGACUGCAAAACAGUGACAGUUCCUAAACACAGCGUAGUGUCACAAGCUUUCUGUGCUGUGUUUUACAGAAAACAGUCCAUAGGUUGAGGUUUCAAGUCCUCAAGUUUGUUGGUGUUUUGCUUUGUUGGUUGGUGGGGUGUUUGUUUCCACAGGAAACUUAGUGCCAUGAUCUCUUUCUAGAGCAUAGAACUAUCAGUGUAAUAGUUAUUUUUUUUUAAUGUAUCUUACUUUCUAAGAGCUACCAAAAAAUAAAACUAAAAAAACAAACAAACAAACCAAGUUUAAAAACAGUAAUGCAUCAUUCGUAGUGCUUGAACUCCUGAAACACUGAAUUCAAUAUUCUAACAACAUAUAUUGUAUGACGUGGGCCUUUCACAAAACGCUGGGUACAUAACACAACCUUGUUGUUUUUUUUCUGACUGAUUUGAGAACAGUUAAUGUCAACCUGCAAGUUUUUCUUUCCCACUUGUAAAUGGUUUCACAACUGCUGUGCAGAGCAGCAGCAACUGUCAGCUUUUCCAGCGUGGUUUGAACCAUGCUCUUCACAGAAAUCCGGUUUCCUGGGUCUAACUGCUUGUAAAUAUGAUGCUGCUGGUGUCCAGAGGAAUAGCUGCUGUUGAUGGUUUCUCUCCUGCCCUCUGAAAUCCUCCAGCAGUGUCAUGCAAGCAAUGGCUCCACUGGAACUCGAGCAUAAUUCUCCCUUCAAAUGGUUGCUGAGCAGCAAAGCGCACGCUUCUACAUCCUCCAUGCUGGGUUUGCCUCGUUACACUGGUACAGGUUGCUCAUUUAUCCCCUUUGCAAAGAGCAGCAGCAGUUCUGCGUAUUGUUCUCACUCAAAAUACAGCUGGAAACAGACUCCCUCGGGUUGGGUCAGUGUCGGUGACGAUCUCAACUCCGUGUUGUUCUGCACACUCAGCUGACCUUCACCAUCACCUGCGGCCUCUUCUGUUGUUGCAAGAAUGUCUGAAAAUGUUUUAGCUUAUCAGUGUAACCAGUCCCUCUCUUACUGCGUUUUUCUUUUCAGUUCUGUAGAAAUAACAGAUGAUCGCACCUAAACCACCAACACUUGGGUGCUGGUUGCUCCUCUUCCAAGACAAAUCCAAAAGAAACACGCGUUCCAGGCAGCCAUGCCAGUUUCACCAAAAUCUUUUGGUGAAAAUUAAGCCUUCUUUGAAAUGCUGACAUUUUCUCAAACGUUUCUUUUUCAUUCAUAUUGUUUCAGAAAGAACAGCAAAUGUUUUUAAAUAAAUGUUGCUUUAAGAAAAAAAAAUAAUUGAAAAGAAUACUUGAUUUACCUACCGGCCUACUGACUGCAUACUGUGACACCGUAUGACUCUUUAGAAUUCUUUUCCUAUAAAUUCCAUAUUACACAAGAAUCCAUAUUUAAAUGAAUUGUGUGAAAGUUGAGAGGCUGCAAGGGGGCGAUGCUUGUGAUCUACAACAAAAGAAGGAAAAAAAUGAAGAGUCUGCCAUUAGAUCAGCUGAAAGAGAAAGCCACCUCUGGUUUGUCUUACGGUAUAAGCUGAAACAGAGUUGUGUUUAUGACAGAGCAGGUUCUGCAAUUUGGUGGGAUUUCUUUUGCCAUUGUGCCCAAAAGGCAAGGUUGUAAUUGCAAGUAUGGUGUGCAAAUAAAAAUUCUUACUGCUCUGUGCACGUCUUCUUUCGCUGUCCUGUGUAACUGUAUGUGCUCGUGGGGAAGUCAGAGCAGGAUCUGCAGGCUGUAACAAGAAGCAAUGUGUGGAGAAAAGCAUUCACAGCUCCUAACAAAGCCUGCCAGGCUUACAGUGAUACCUUCCUGGUGCGGAGCCACCAAACCAUCUGCAGAUAAGUUUUUAAUUAAUAUUUGCCACCCCCUUCUCCUAUCCAUCAUUAAUAGCUUUCUGUUCACUUCCCAUGCCUGCUGUACUCCUUAGCCUGAUUUUUCCCCCAGUGAUGAACACUUGUCACCAGUAAAUAAACACAUUUUUACAACUGCUGUUCUUCAGUAGCACGACGGAUGGCAGGGAGGUGUGCACAGUCCCACAGCACGCUGCAGCUCACUGUAACAGCUUGCUUUAUGGAGACUUCACAAGGCAUGAACAGGCUGAGCAGCGGUGCAGGGCAGCAGAGGUGGCAGCCCCACCUCCCUGCAGCGCUGGCCCUGCAAGCAGCCCACCUCCAUCAGCACAGGGGCAACCAAGGAACAGCAAACACUGAGGGAGAUGAGAAAAUUAUCUUUUUCUCCAGCAGGAAAAAUAGGAGAUGAUAUAUGGCGACAUCAGUAAUACUGGAUUUUCAGUUGUUACACAACAAUAUUUGUUUUUUACAUUAUUAUCUAUUAUUAUUGCAUGGGAAUAGUAAUGUUACUGGACAAGAACCUCCUCCAAAAAUUCAGAGCUUCCUCUGGCUCCCCAAGGAAGAGGACCUCCGUGUUAUCUCACCUGAGUGCAGAGAAAGGCAUUGGAGUUUCACAAACUGGAACAUCCCUUUGCUCAUCCUUGUGCAAAGUGUUGUAACCCAGGUAGAACCAUGGGACAACCCAAAUCCACUCUUUAUUGGCUGUGGACGCUCUGUGUGACCUCAGACAAGUCCCGUAGCCCAGAUUCCCAAACAAGUAACUCCUGUAGCUGCCACCACCCCAAGGACACUGGGAAGGGUCAUGCUGUGCUGCUGAGAGGCAGCCCUCCAGCCCUCCAGGAGCCCCUACGGGUAGGGGAACCGCCGCGCUCAGUUUGUACCAGUUUCUCAUUUAGUGAUUUUCUCACCCAGAAAUACCAGAUUUGCCUCCGCUCCCUAGGAGGAGGAUUUCUACAGUAAGUCAGGGCUCAGACUGGCUGGCAAGCAGGGGAGAAAAAAGGUAUAUGAGAGAGAUUCUUGUUGGAUGUGCUUCGUCUUGUAGAGACUAAAGUGGGUCACUGUAAAAAAAAAAGGAAUAGAAAAGAUGGUCUUGGUAUUUUCAGGGAACUUCUGGCCUUAAACGUGUGGAUGAAUGCACUUCUCUUGCAUUUCACUGCAAGACGCUCUGAGGUUCCAGCAUUAAGCACGUUCCCUGCUUUGCUCUGGCAGAUGUUGCCCUGCACAGAACCUCCUCCUCCUGGCUCCACAGGGCUCCCAGAAGGAAUACAGCUCCAAGGCAAGAGUUUGCCAUGCAGCUCUAAGAUCCCUUCAUACGCUUUCUUCUCCAUAAUCUGCUGCAUGAAACAAUUUGAAACAGGAACAAGGGGGAAAAAAUAUUUUCCCUGUCAUUAUUUCUAGAGCACCAACACAGCUACUGGAUUACCUGGGAGAACAGAAGAGAAAGACUUUGGAGAAGAGAUGCACUGCAGCAGGAAACUUUGCCAUGGGGCUGGACCAUUCUGAUGGCUUGACUUAUAGUGAUUUAUUGACAGGAAGGGUGUUUUUUUUUUUUGGCUUAGGCCUUAUUAUUCUUAAUUUAGAGGAGAAGCCCAGAGGACAGGCUAUUCCUAUCUCCAGAAACAAAACUUAUCAGUGUAAGGAGCAUCUCCCUGCCACCACUCUAUGGAGAGGAGAAAGCCAGCAACCAUUACAAACUUCAGCACAAGCCAUUAAAUUCAGCUGUGAGGGAUAGGAUGAGGGAGAGCUUCCAUGCAUUGCAUUGUGCCCACCCUGGCAGGGCUGCAAGCGCAGGGAGCUGGGAAGCCCAGCAUGCAUGGCGGGGGACAGCAAGGGAAUUCUCAUGGGGAAGCUGACACCCCAAACCUCCACAAAGGAUAAUAAAGCUGGAGAAAAACAAAGAGAAGCAACAGCAGCCCUUUUACGUCUCUUCCACACCGUAUUUCCUGGUGUUGAAGAAGUUUUUGCACAUCCUCUUUGAAAGAGGCCGUGUGAGAGACCCAUUCAUAUCAUGAGGAUUCCCCACAGCAGCAGCACCUCCCAAGUCCCCCGGAGGAACUGUUUCUGCAGAAUUGAAACUGAGCUGUGAGAAGUGAUUGGAGUAUGGCCUAUUAGCAAGUGCUGUUAUACCUGAAGGAAGUGAAACAUUGCAGUAGAACUCAAAUUUCUUUCCAAGUUGAAUUACACUGAUGGCAAGCUCCCUCCACAGGCAAUAAAAAAAGAGGCUGAACUAAGCAGACACAACAUGCAGGGGGCUCAAAGGAGAGCCCCUCAGCAACGUGGAGGUAAUUGCAGUCAGCUGGGAAAAGGAAGCAGCUCUUGUUUGUCAAACCAAAUUCUUUCUCUGCUUGUUUGCUGCGGCUGCCAGGAGCUCCGACGUCCCCAUGCAACAGGGAGCUGGUGGAUGUCAUGGAUGUAUUCCCUUCUGCCGGAUGCCUUACAAAUAGGAGCAGCCGAAUCUUGUUCCAUCUCAUUUAAUAGCACGGGCUGCAAGGUGGAAUACUUUUUCUCCUGUUCUUUGCCACUGACUUCACACACGCGGUCCUUGACGCAGGCUGUGGCACUGCAGCCAUUUCUGCCCCUCCUCUCUCACUUGCUGCAGCUUUUAGAAGGUUGACUCACACAGAUCCAGCUGGGAUGAUUCCCGUUGCCCUUUGCACAGCACCCAUCUGAUCUGCUGUGUGCAGGUCACCACUUGCAUAACGUGGAACGAGCUGCCUGCCUGAAGAACAGCCCAGGCUUUUCUUAGAGCUGCUGCCAAUAUAUUUACUAUCAGAAAGGAAGAUCCUUUUGGCUGCUGCUAGACAUUCUGUCAGCUUAACGUCAGUAUGACCAGCACUGACCUGUGACUUCCCCUUCAUCCUCUGCACGGGGUGUUUAUCAACAAGCUGCUGGUGUAAAGGCAGCAACCUCCUGCUCAGCCUGCGGCUAACGAUGCGGAAGGUACAGCAGGUGACUUGGCUUUGGAUGAAAACACAGCAUGUGUGGGAAAAGGCAUCUUUUUCACUAUAUUAACUGACACAGCAGGAAAACAAAGCAGCGAGGCCUAAGGCACUCAUAGCACAACCGCUGGGGCCACGCUCUAUCUGCCUUGCUGCCCCCGCAGCAACACUGCAUCACCAGAUCCUGAAAAUACCCGACCCCUUGUUUCUGAAUCCCACCCUUCAGCAUGCUCACCAGCCUCUUUAUGGAGCUGGAGAGGGGGAGAACAGCAACCGUGUUUCUGCUUGGCCAGCAGAGAAUGCCCUAAAAACACUCAGGUAGGAGAUUGUUGCAGUUGCAGCAGCCUCCCACUCACCCUUUGAAUUGCACCCCAGCAUGCAGCCGUGCCUGCAGCACCAUUGCCAAACCACGCACUGCCCAGGAGCCCGGCUCCAGCACUGAGCAUCUGCAGUUCUCCUCCAAAAGGCAGCGGAGAAGGAAAUAUUUGUUUGAAGAACUAACAACAUUUUCACGUACUGAAAAAUCACGUUCCCAUGGAUCUUGAGAAAGUAAUUAAUCCAAAGCUCUCUUAAAAUUCCCUUCGAUAACCAAAGAGGAAAAACAAUGAGAGACUUCAAGUUUUCAUGUAUUUUAUUUACAAGCCACACGAUACAUUUAUAUACAAAUGGCUUAAAAUAACGAAGGGUAAGCAAGCUGAAGCAUAACAGUUUGAUUAUUUUAAAUUACGUUCUCUUGAAAUAACUCCUGCAAUAAAGUAUUCUUCACCCUGAUAAGCAAAAGUUAGUUCGACUUUAACCCAAGGUCAUUUCAUUUUUUAAAUACAGAAUUCAUAUCACUUUUCUGUGAUCCUUUAUCUUCUUAACACUCAUGUAUGAAGAACAUCCCACAGCCAUCAAGAAGGGAAACAGCCAAAUUUCCUCCUGUACAAAUGCUGUAACAACAGACUGGAGAAAUGUAAAAUGCUUGUGUGUUUCAUUAACUAAGAGAAUGCAAGAAAUACAUGAGAUUUCCUCUCUUGGAAACAGGAUUCAUGGUCUGAGAUCCAAUUUGCGCGCGGACGAGAGCUGUGUUCCCACUGUCAGAGACCAAACAGAUCCCAGUGCAACUGCGCCACACCAGAACCUGCCUGCAGCAGGGACCAGCAGAAGGGCAGAGCUCCAAACCCCGCAGAGCUCAACACUGCAGCACUCGGCACCUCUGCUGUCACACUGCCGCAGCAAGAAGAAAAUUCAACACAGACUCGUUUUGUGGAAACAUAAGAAAAUACAGAAAUUUGCCAUUUAAUUUCCGCCCCCCCACCCCCAGGGAAUUCUAUUAACAUUUAAAGACAUGUAUUUUUACACCCCUUCCCAAACACCGCUCCGUUUCAGGUCACAGCUAGCAAUCCAUGACACAAGUCAGUUCCUUUUCCUUCGGCUGAUUGUAAGUGUUCUAAUACUCUAAGUGCCUUAAGUCACAUCCAGCAGUCUGGUCGUGCUCACGUUUCUCCUCUUGGUGUGGCUAAUGACUGCCCAGUAUAAAUAAUAACGCUUGCUAUUCCAUGGUCCAUGGUUACAGUACUUUGCUAUGUUUUAGAAACACAAACACACAACACUUACUUUUUGAUGUGGUGUCCAGGUCUCUGUAGCACACUUUGGAAUUGCAGCACAGAAAAAGUAAACCCAAAGGAAGGUGGGAAGUAACCAAAGCCAUGGCUCCGCAGAAAAUCACACGGCUUUCAGAAUGCCUGCGACUGCAGCAGAAAUGCAAUGGCCACGCGAAGCCAAAUGUUGCACUAGCACUGACUCGCUCUGCUAAGUGAAGUUUGUUCAAAAGGGUCAAAUUCUCAACUGAUGUGAGCACCUCUUAAUACGGUACAGAAAAGAAAUGUUGAUAAAUCACAUGCGGGGCCAGCACAACCCAAGGUGGGCAGCCCUCGGGCCUGGAUAACUCCUAGACCAGGCCCAGACCAGGGGGAGCCAGGCAGAUCCCCGGGCUGCAGAGAAGGCAGCAGCCUCCUUGCUCAGCCAUCAUCCCAUGCUGACUGUCCCCCUGUGCUACACCAGCACCGCUGUCCCAAGCUAACAGUCUUCAGUCACAGGCUGCUAAUCCUUACACUGAAUUUGGGAAACAUGCAUCUGCAACAGUGUGGAAGUUUUGGUUUAGAUCCACGCAGAAGCCGGCUGUCUACUCCAUCUCCUUUGUAUCCAUCACAGCCACAGCAACUUGCGUCGGCUCCGCUAUUACAUCUGAAGACCAAAAUCCAUCUCAGCACAACAGCGCAGCAGCAGAGCAAUGCCAGCCAGCAGUGGUGCUGCUCCGCCUGCCUUCACUUGCAGUACUGAAAGUCAAACCACUUAGUCCUCCUUGAAACCUACCUUCCAUUUGAACUUGCCUGCUUUUUUUUUUUUUCUUUCCAAUUUACAUUGGAAGUGCAGUAGAGUAACACGGGGCUGCACGUUUUUAGUGAAAACAAUGGCCUAAGAGCUGUAAAAGUCUUGCUUAACUCAAAAAAAACCAACAACAAACAACUGUCUGAACCUCUUGGGGUUUUUUUUCUAUCAAUUAGUAAACAAAUAAGCCUCAGCUGAUGCUGUCCGUACCUAAAUGAGAAUAAUGAUUUCAGCCUUUAAAAUUCAACCAGCAGAAAAAUGUUACUGAGGUCCUUACUCAAGGAACCCAACCUGCCUCGCACUCCGGCAAGCUGUGACUUCCCUAAAGCACGCGGCCACGAGCGUUUGCUCCUGACUGCCUGGGCUGAUUUUGCUUUCAGAGGGCAGGACUCCCUUCUGUGCCUGGCGAAGGCAGCUGCCAGACUUACAGGGACACCUCCAUCUCCCACCUGCCAGAUCCUCAAUCCACACAGUCAGCACAGUGACUUUCUCCAUGCCCUGCAACGCGGCACUUGGCCAUCAACAAGAACCGAGGUUUUGAAAUUAAAACAAAACAUCGACACCUUUGGCUUCUAUUCUGAAAGUCCAAAAAGUCACUGACAAGACUACAUUUGAAAUAGUAACAGCAGGUCAAAAGACCUGUCGGCUAUUUAGUCAACAACAGCUUGGAUCAAUCAAGAAACUAUAAGAACUAUCCUACAGUACUUGCAAUCAGCAAUGAGCAGCUGUUUCUUCCAAGAGAGGAGCCUUAUUCUUUCUUGAGAAGAGUCAUCAUUUUCAUUUCACUGCAACAAAUGUUGGUGUCCAUUUUUAAAAGGAUACCAAAGGACAAUUUGUUUGCUUUUAAUUUUCUUACAUCAGUUUCUAGAAUAGAUGCACUACCAAGGCCCUGAAGAGAACAUUUUCUUCUCAUUCCCUAACUUCAAAAUGCAUUAGCAACAAGGUUCUGAGAUUUUAAUGAACAACUUAAUAUUUAAUACUGCUGUUUAGUAAAGUUCAGAUGAUGGAAAGAGACUCAGUCUUAUGCAUCCUUUACUACCUUCUAUAUGUUACAGGUUAAAGAAUAUUACUAAUGGAAAUGACUUACUCUGGGGGAGGCAUUUUAGAUGGUUCCACAUCUCGCAGAAACUCGCACUGAAGAGCUUGUUCAGCUGUACAGCGCUUGCUGGGAUCCAGAGCAAGCAUGUAAUCAAACAAAUCUAAUGCAGCUGGUGGGAUGCUGCAAAAGAACACAGUGGAAAAAAGCAUCACCUGUUUUCUGAAUCACAUACUUCAGUGCAAAGUUUUCAUAAGAACAACUCUCCAGAAUAACUGAACAUCUAAAAUGAAGAAUUUACUUUUAAGAAGCAGAUAACAAAGUUCAUCUUUAUCAAUCUCUGAAGAGGAUGUCUGCUCACUUACGAGGUCACCUAUGAUAUCAGAAUCAAGAGCAACUUCUGCUUGCAAAAUAAAGAGGAAAACAAGAUGCACUGGUUCCAUGGAGUUAUAUACAUGCCAUCCUAAAAUUUACUGAGAUAAUGUAGUAAACAAAAUAUUCACCUCCAUAAAGUAUCUGGCAGUUUGUAAGGGAAGAGAAAUAUAUGAAAAAAUGAAAGCCCAGGUGCACACGUGGGAAAACUCAAUGCAAGAUCUUAAGGCAAGCAGCAUACAAAGCACCUACUGCUCCUAAACCUGCUGUCCUUACUGACCAUGUUUCCUUUGAUUUGCUGUAAAGAAUUUGUGAUGCCAUCUUGAAAAGGAAUUACAUUCUUUUACAACUUCAGUAAUAGGAAAAGCUCCAGCUGCAUUUUGAAACACUUCCCCACAUUCACACAUAAGACACUUCUUCUACAUGCCCCUGAAGACCACUAAUAUCUCACUCAGGAUGAUAAUGAAGUACUUGUAAAUGUCAGCAGUGUGUUACCUUUGUUUUUAAUGUGAAAAAGAUUGGCAGUUUACCAGGUACCUACCACACUGUAGUGCCUGCUAGUUACCUUAUAAGUUCCAGCUGAGCAAGUUCUUGAUUUGCUUGAAAUAUUGGCUUUUUUGUAAAAAGUUCACCCAGGAUGCAGCUGUAAAACAGUUUCAUACAAUUUCAUCAUUAUGGCUUCCAGUACAGACUGACAGAAAUAUGCACUGCUGGCUUGUUGUUGUGCUUGCUACACUUCUGUACCAAACUCUUACCCACAGCUCCAGACAUCGAUAGCUGGCGUGUAUCUUUCUUCUCCAAGCAGAAGUUCAGGAGGCCGAUACCAUAAUGUAAUAACUUUGUUGGUAUAUGGUCGGCUGUUGGAGGGAGCAAAAAAAAAGAGGACUAUCAUUUUGCUACAAUCUCAUUUCUGAAAAAAGUGAUAUUUUGAGGGGUAUAAUUCUAUGGUGUUAUUUAAGGACAGCGUUGCCUUCCUUCUUUUCAGUUCUACAAAGUUACAACUGCAAAAAAGCAACACAUCCAUCUGACCAAGGCUAUCAAAGAACAGCCUGAAACGAGACCUCAGAGAUACACAAGUAAUCAGCAAGCCAUCUUGAUGCUAUGUGCAUCCUGUAUUUCAAAUAAUUAAACAGUUCACUUAUCACACUGCUAGCCAUUUCAGGAAAAAGAUCUGCUUUGAUAAAAAAGUGAUUUCUCGAUAACUGUUAAUUAGUAGAAUACUGAAGACAGGAUUUCUACAAACAUUUUUAAAAGGGGAAAAACAGUCACUCUCUGGAAAGAAAGAAACAAAGCCUUUCUCUCAAACUAUGUCCUUCAACAACUUUGCAUUCUAAGUCUGGACCAUUUCUAACAUAUUCCUUUAUUUCAACAUUUUUAAUUCUUUACAGUUCUAACCAGAAGUUCUGGUCAUAGUGAAUAAUCCUUUCCAUCCUCACACUAACAUAAGGAUUCCACUACCUCAGACAUGCAUUUUCUGUGCACUGGCCAACACAGAGCAUCAACAGUUCAGAACAGGAGUCAUAGCAGAUGGUAGGGAUGGGCUGUUUUCCACUUAGUUUUUGCUUUGUGUUUAAAGAGGGGGGAUGGGCCGGGACAACA